UACGAAGGGGGCGAGCGUUGUUCGGAUUUACUGGGCGUAAAGGGUGCGUAGGCGGCGCGGUAAGUCGGGUGUGAAAUCUUGGAGCUUAACUCCGAAACUGCAUUCGAUACUGCCGUGCUUGAGGACUGGAGAGGAGACUGGAAUUUACGGUGUAGCGGUGAAAUGCGUAGAUAUCGUAAGGAAGACCAGUGGCGAAGGCGGGUCUCUGGACAGUUCCUGACGCUGAGGCACGAAGGUCAGGGGAGCAAACGGG
rnacentral:rRNA from 1 species